GAUGAACGCUGGCGGCGUGCCUAAUACAUGCAAGUCGAGCGAACGGACGAGAAGCUUGCUUCUCUGAUGUUAGCGGCGGACGGGUGAGUAACACGUGGAUAACCUACCUAUAAGACUGGGAUAACUUCGGGAAACCGGAGCUAAUACCGGAUAAUAUUUUGAACCGCAUGGUUCAAAAGUGAAAGACGGUCUUGCUGUCACUUAUAGAUGGAUCCGCGCUGCAUUAGCUAGUUGGUAAGGUAACGGCUUACCAAGGCAACGAUGCAUAGCCGACCUGAGAGGGUGAUCGGCCACACUGGAACUGAGACACGGUCCAGACUCCUACGGGAGGCAGCAGUAGGGAAUCUUCCGCAAUGGGCGAAAGCCUGACGGAGCAACGCCGCGUGAGUGAUGAAGGUCUUCGGAUCGUAAAACUCUGUUAUUAGGGAAGAACAUAUGUGUAAGUAACUGUGCACAUCUUGACGGUACCUAAUCAGAAAGCCACGGCUAACUACGUGCCAGCAGCCGCGGUAAUACGUAGGUGGCAAGCGUUAUCCGGAAUUAUUGGGCGUAAAGCGCGCGUAGGCGGUUUUUUAAGUCUGAUGUGAAAGCCCACGGCUCAACCGUGGAGGGUCAUUGGAAACUGGAAAACUUGAGUGCAGAAGAGGAAAGUGGAAUUCCAUGUGUAGCGGUGAAAUGCGCAGAGAUAUGGAGGAACACCAGUGGCGAAGGCGACUUUCUGGUCUGUAACUGACGCUGAUGUGCGAAAGCGUGGGGAUCAAACAGGAUUAGAUACCCUGGUAGUCCACGCCGUAAACGAUGAGUGCUAAGUGUUAGGGGGUUUCCGCCCCUUAGUGCUGCAGCUAACGCAUUAAGCACUCCGCCUGGGGAGUACGACCGCAAGGUUGAAACUCAAAGGAAGUGACGGGGACCCGCACAAGCGGUGGAGUAUGUGGUUUAAUUCGAAGCAACGCGAAGAACCUUACCAAAUCUUGACAUCCUUUGACAACUCUAGAGAUAGAGCCUUCCCCUUCGGGGGACAAAGUGACAGGUGGUGCAUGGUUGUCGUCAGCUCGUGUCGUGAGAUGUUGGGUUAAGUCCCGCAACGAGCGCAACCCUUAAGCUUAGUUGCCAUCAUUAAGUUGGGCACUCUAAGUUGACUGCCGGUGACAAACCGGAGGAAGGUGGGGAUGACGUCAAAUCAUCAUGCCCCUUAUGAUUUGGGCUACACACGUGCUACAAUGGACAAUACAAAGGGCAGCGAAACCGCGAGGUCAAGCAAAUCCCAUAAAGUUGUUCUCAGUUCGGAUUGUAGUCUGCAACUCGACUACAUGAAGCUGGAAUCGCUAGUAAUCGUAGAUCAGCAUGCUACGGUGAAUACGUUCCCGGGUCU
rnacentral:rRNA from 1 species